AAAAUUUGCAGAAUUAGAUUUGUUGACAAGUUACGUGGAAGCUGAUUUUAAUCAGUAUGAGAAGUACUUCAAAAAUAAUAGUUAUUACAAAAGUCUCGAACAGAAAAGAGAAGAUUUAAAAACCGCUUUGAAUACCUAUUUGGGCACAUUUCCAGAAGGCACUGCAGAAAAUGCUAUUCCACUGUCAGGUUUGAUUAAGACUUUGAAAACUAAUAUGGGUGUAUAAUAACCUACAAUUCAUUAUUCAAGAGAAAAUCAUUUGAGUAGGUAAUUUAUUACUGAAAUUUUUCAUAUUUUUUAAGCAUUAGAAUUCAAUUAUCAUUGUAUUUUACAUAUUAUUAUCAAUAUUAUGAGUUAAGUAUAGGGUCACGGGUGGUUAGUUGUCAAAAAAAAAAGUUUUUUGAAGUUUCUGAAGCCAUUUAUGAAUAUUUUUUUGCGGUUUUGGGCUCAUUUGAAAGCUUGAUUCUUUGCGCAUAUUUUCUUUUUUUAAAAUUGAAUUUUGGUUCAUGUGAUGAAUAGUUAAUGGUGGAUUUAGUGAGAUACUUUUUUGUGACAACUAACAACCACCCCUGUUGUAAGUUGUCAAACACGCAUUCACUAUUGAUUAAAAAAAACUUACAAUUCAAUUUUCAAAAAUUUUCAAAAAGAUAACACGUGAGAAGGACUAAACUUUUAGAUAAACCCAAAAACUUGAAAAAAUAUCCAUAAACGACUUAAAAAUUGACUGGUCAUUCUUUGAAUUUUUUUUUGCGUAGGUAAAUCGAUCAAUGCAACUUUUUAUUCGUUUUACAGAAUGAAAGGCAGAAAAAAAUGAUUCAAUAAUGCAAUAGAUAAUUUUCUAAAAAUAUUUUCCCACUUUGAUGCAUAUUUUGGUAAACUAUCUCAUUGACAACUAACAAUAUUCCCUUUUUUGACAACUAACAACUUCUCGUUUUUCAUCUUUGUACCAAAAAAUUUUAUUCAUUUCAAAAUUUUUUGUAAUUGAACAUGUGAUUACUGAAUCCGUGAUAAAAUUUCCUUUAAAUUGAUGUAUAAUUUAUUUACUUUUGACAUAUUUUUGAUGUUUAAAAACGAAAAGUUCCAAUUUAACAUGUGUAACUUCGCACCUGUAAAAUCACUUUUUUCAAAACUGUAUCUCCAAAUAAAAAGCUAUGUAGCCAAUUUUGCAUGUUGGAACAUUAGUAGGUAUAGCAUGAAGUUAUUAUGAAGGUUUCGUGGAGAUAGCGUUCAUGUAUCCUUUUAAAAACGCAAUUUGACAACUAACAAUUAUUGACAACUAACCACCCGUGACCCUAUUUAUCGCAUUAUUAGCGCUUCUCUAUCAUUAAGUGGGUAUGUUUAUUUAUUAUUAUUAUUAUUAUAAAGAAAUGAGUUAAUUAUUAUCAAGGAUGUGAUCAACAUACAUAUAUGCACAUGAAAUAGAAUAGGUAUACUUGCAUUUCAAACGUGUACAUAUUUAAGGCAAAAUCGUAAAAAAUGAAAAAUAAGCGAAAAAAAUUCGGUUUUCUCUGGUUUAUUUUACUCAUCACUUCGGGAUUCGCAAAAAACAUAUGAUUUUAUAGCGAAAGGAAUCAACACAAAAAAUAUGUGAAUGCAGUACUUAUUAUGCAUAAGAAUUGCAUCCUUGUUAAUAACCACAUAUGGAGGAGGUGUGGGUAAUUGGCGUUAAUGACUUAAUGAGAUAUCAAGUCGAAUAAUUUUAAUUUUAUUUUCAAUAAUAUAUAUUCGU